rnacentral:rRNA from 1 species
AGUAACUGCGAGUGAAGCGGGAAAAGCUCAAAUUUAAAAUCUGGCAGAUGUUUGUCUGUCCGAGUUGUAACCUAGAGAAGUGUAACCUGUGCUGGACCAUGUACAAGUCUCCUGGAAUGGAGCAUCAUAGAGGGUGAGAAUCCCGUCUUUGACAUGGACUACCAGUGCACUGUGGUUGUGCACUCAACGAGUCGAGUUGUUUGGGAAUGCAGCUCUAAAUGGGUGGUAAAUUCCAUCUAAAGCUAAAUAUUGGCGAGAGACCGAUAGCGAACAAGUACCGUGAGGGAAAGAUGAAAAGAACUUUGGAAAGAGAGUUAAACAGUAUGUGAAAUUGUUGAAAGGGAAACACUUGAAGUCAGCUGCAUUGGCUGGGGAUCAAGCCAGCUUAUUUGCUGGGUGUACUUCCUGGUUGAUGGGCCAACAUCAGUUUUGACCAUCAGAGAAAGGCUAAGGGAAUGUGGCACCUUUAUAGGUGUGUUAUAGCCCUUGGUUGUAUGUGGUGGAUGGGACUGAGGAUAGCAGCGUGCCGCAAGGCCGGGCCGUUUCGACCACGUUCACGCUUUGGAUGUUGGCAUAAUGGCUUUAAGUGACCCGUCUUGAAACACGGACCAAGGAGUCUAACAUGCAUGCAAGUGUUUGGGUGGAAAACUCAAGCGCGUAAUGAAAGUGAAAGUUGAGAUCCCUCUCACAGGGGAGCAUCGACGCCCGGACCAGAACUUUUGGGACGGAUCUGCGGUAGAGCAAGCAUGUUGGGACCCGAAAGAUGGUGAACUAUGCCUGAAUAGGGUGAAGCCAGAGGAAACUCUGGUGGAGGCUCGUAGCGAUUCUGACGUGCAAAUCGAUCGUCGAAUUUGGGUAU